AUUAUGUAUACUUACUUUUAAAUUGAUGGAAUCAGGGUACUGCGAAGGUUGACAUUGUAGACUUCUACAAAGAUUCCCAUUGGAGCAAGAGAAAGGCAGAUUGGAUAGCUCCAAUAUGUGGUGAAUUACAUGAAGCUUUGAAAAAACGACGUGAAGAGUCUUUGGAGCCUGGGGCAAUACCUUUAACUCAAGAGCAGCUGUCAAUUGAAGUUCUUGGAACGAGUAAAUCAGGAUACAUAAAGGGCUUCGGAGUUGGUCGAAACCUAUCCUUAUCCAAAUCUUCUGUUAGUACACAAGCACAUGUUGAGGUGGUUUCGAGCCUACAAGAACAAAUAGAGUCAUUGAAGAAUUUAGUUGAGGUCUAGCAAGAACAAAUUGCAGCCCAGAACUUGGUAACACAAGAGCAAGCUAGAAAGAUUGAAAUGCAAAACAAAAGGUUUGAAGAGAUUGAAAAGUUUAUGAGGAUGCACAAGGAUAAGGCAGACAUGCAGGUUGAUGAAGAUGAUUGUUCAUCAGAGGAAUUUUAUUGACAGCUUGCUCUAUUGGCAAUGGAUCGAAUAUAGUUCGGGGAGCAUCAAAGGAUUACAUUUUGAAUUUUUGGAUAUAUUUUGUCAUAGGUUUUUGUUAUGAAUUUGCAAGCUU